rnacentral:ncRNA from 1 species
UAACUAUGACUCUCUCUUAAGACAUUGUCAGGUGGGGAGUUUAGCUAGGGCGGCACAUCUGUUAAACCUAUAACGCAGGUGUCCUAAGGGGGGCUUAUAGAGAAUAGAAAUCUCUAAUAGAACAAAGGGUAAAAGUCCCCUUGAUUUUGAUUUUCAGUGUGAAUAUAAACUAUGAAAGUGUAGCCUAUCGAUCCUUUAGUCCCUCGAAAUUUAAGGCUAGAGGUGCUAGAAA